rnacentral:rRNA from 1 species
CCUACGGGUAGCUGCAGUGGGGAAUAUUGCACAAUGGGGGAAACCCUGAUGCAGCGACGCCGCGUGAAUGAAGAAGUAAUUCGUUAUGUAAAGUCCUAUCAUCAGGGAAGAUUAUGACGGUAUCUGAGUAAUAAGCACCGGCUAACUACGUGCCAGCAGCCGCGGUAAUACGUAGGGGGCAAGCGUUAUCCGGAUUUACUGGGUGUAAAGGGAGCGUAGACGGGCGUGCAAGUCUGAGGUGAAAGGCGGGGGCUCAACCCCCGGACUGCUCUGGACACUGGACGGCUGGAGUGCAGGAGAGGUAAGUGGAAUUCCUAGUGUAGCGGUGAAAUGCGUAGAGAUUAGGAGGAACACCAGUGGCGAAGGCGGCUUACUGGAAUAUAACUGACGUUGAGGCUCGAAAGCGUGGGGAGCAAACAGGAUUAGAUACCCCAGUAGUC